GACGAACGCUGGCGGCGUGCUUAACACAUGCAAGUCGAACGGUGAACGAGGGAGCUUGCUCCCUCCGGAUCAGUGGCGAACGGGUGAGUAACACGUGAGCAAUCUGCCCCGAACUCUGGGAUAAGCGUUGGAAACGACGUCUAAUACCGGAUACGACGCGGGAGGGCAUCCUCUCCGCGUGGAAAGAACUUCGGUUCGGGAUGAGCUCGCGGCCUCUCAGCUUGUUGGUGAGGUUACGGCUCACCAAGGCGACGACGGGUAGCCGGCCUGGGAGGGUGACCGGCCACACUGGGACUGAGACACGGCCCAGACUCCUACGGGAGGCAGCAGUGGGGAAUAUUGCACAAUGGGCGCAAGCCUGAUGCAGCAACGCCGCGUGAGGGACGACGGCCUUCGGGUUGUAAACCUCUUUUAGCAGGGAAGAAGCGAAAGUGACGGUACCUGCAGAAAAAGCACCGGCUAACUACGUG
rnacentral:rRNA from 1 species